rnacentral:rRNA from 1 species
GAUGAACGCUGGCGGCGUGCUUAACACAUGCAAGUCGAACGAAGCACUUUGAUCGAUUUCUUCGGAUUGAAAUUUUAGUGACUGAGUGGCGGACGGGUGAGUAACGCGUGGGUAACCUGCCUCACACAGGGGGAUAACAGUUGGAAACGGCUGCUAAUACCGCAUAAGCGCACAGUACCGCAUGGUACGGUGUGAAAAACUCCGGUGGUGUGAGAUGGACCCGCGUCUGAUUAGCUAGUUGGCAGGGCAACGGCCUACCAAGGCGACGAUCAGUAGCCGACCUGAGAGGGUGACCGGCCACAUUGGGACUGAGACACGGCCCAAACUCCUACGGGAGGCAGCAGUGGGGAAUAUUGCACAAUGGGGGAAACCCUGAUGCAGCGACGCCGCGUGAGCGAAGAAGUAUUUCGGUAUGUAAAGCUCUAUCAGCAGGGAAGAAGAAAUGACGGUACCUGACUAAGAAGCACCGUCUAAAUACGUGCCAGCCGCCGCAGUAA